UAGAGUUUGAUCCUGGCUCAGGAUGAACGCUAGCGGCGCGCUUAAUGCAUGUAAGUCGAGCGAUGAGGCCCUCUUCGGGGGGUACAUCAGCGGCAGACGGGUGAGUAGCACGUAGGUGAUCUACCCCAGAGACGGGGAUAACGGACGGAAACGUCCGCUAAUACCGGAUGACCUUGUCAGGUCAAAGCGACAAGGAAAGGCUCCGGCGCUCUGGGAGGAGCCUGCGGCCCAUCAGCUAGUUGGCGGGGUAAAGGCCCACCAAGGCGAAGACGGGUAGGGGGUGUGAGAGCAUGGCCCCCCACAAUGGGACUGAAACACGGCCCAUACUCCUACGGGAGGCAGCAGCAGGGAAUAUUGCACAAUGGACGGAAGUCUGAUGCAGCGACGCCGCGUGGAUGAUGAAGGCCCUCGGGUUGUAAAAUCCUUUACAAGGGGACGAGGAAGGACGGUACCCUUGGAACAAGUGUCGGCUAACUACGUGCCAGCAGCCGCGGUAAGACGUAGGACACAAGCGUUAUCCGGAUUUACUGGGCGUAAAGCGUCUGCAGGCGGACAGGUAAGUUGGGCGUGAAAGCUCCGGGCUCAACCCGGAGAGGUCGUUCAAUACUGCGUGUCUAGAGGGUGUCAGAGGGGAGUGGAAUUUCCGGAGUAGCGGUAAAAUGCGCAGAGAUCGGAAAGAACACCAAUGGCGAAAGCAGCUCCCUGGGGCAUACCUGACGCUAAGAGACGAAAGCUAGGGGAGCGAACAGGAUUAGAGACCCUGGUAGCCCUAGCCCUAAACGAUGGAUGCUGGAUGUGGGCCAUAGCGCUCCGUGUCGAAGCGAACGCGUUAAGCAUCUCGCCUGGGGACUAC
rnacentral:rRNA from 1 species